GGACUACUAGGGUAUCUAAUCCCGUUUGCUCCCCACGCUUUCGCACCUCAGCGUCAGUCUUAGGCCAGGAAGGCGCCUUCGCCACCGGUGUUCCUCCUGAUAUCUACGCAUUUCACCGCUACACCAGGAAUUCCCCUUCCCCCUCCCAGACUCAAGUCAUCCAGUAUCCAAGGCACUGUUCACGUUGAGCGCUGAACCUUUCACCCCAGACUUAAAUAACCGCCUACGCGCGCUUUACGCCCAGUAACUUCGGACAACGCUCGCCCCCUACGUAUUACCGCGGCGGCUGGCACCU
rnacentral:misc_RNA from 1 species